UCCCGUCCCGUCCCGAACCUGCGGCCCGCCGCGAGAGCGCUCCACGCCGCGCGCCGUCGCUGCCUGCACAGACGUCCGUAGAUGCCAGCGGGGCGGCCCGCCGGAUGUGGAGCAAGGCGGCGCAAGCGGCCAUGGCGGCGGCCACACAUGCUCGUCGGCCCCGCCGUCCCCUCCACCACCUCACAUAAUUUCCGUCCACACCUUUCGAGGCUGUGCAUUGGGUCGGCGACAGUAGCGAGAGCUGGCGGCCAUGGAUGAGAUGAGAGUGGGACGAGCAGCCGUGGCCGCGGCUGCGGAGUCGCUUUUGGAGGCUACGUCGGCGAGCCGUGCUCUCGACUCUGUCAAAGACCCCCGCAUCUCCCCGAGCUGUUCUGAAGAAUACAAGUCUGAAGAGCUACUUUCAGCUGAAGAAGAAGAGGAAGAAGACGACGAUGAUGAUGCAAUCAGCUGCUGACGUACUUGUCGAUGAUGGUGGCGAGGGUGGUCUUGGGGACGGCGCCGAUGACGCUCUCCUUCUUCUCGCCGUUCUUGAACAUGAGGACGGUGGGGAUGCUCCGGAUGCCGUAGUUGGUGGCGAUGUUUGGUGAGUCGUCCGUGUUCACCUUGCAGCACUUGAUCUUGCCGACGUACUCCUUGGCCAGCUCGUCGAUCACCGGCGCGAUCAUCCUGCACGGUCCGCACCACGGUGCCCAGAACUCCACCAGCACCGGCGCCUCGCUCCCCAGCACCAUGCUGUCCCAGUUCUUC